CACUGACAUUAGAUACCCCGGUAGUCCCAGCCGUAAACUAUGCGCGUUAGGUGUACUGGUGACCACGAGUCACCGGGUGCCGAAGGGAAACCGUGAAACGUGCCGCCUGGGAAGUACGGUCGCAAGGCUGAAACUUAAAGGAAUUGGCGGGAGCACCACAACGGGUGGAGCCUGCGGUUUAAUUGGACUCAACGCCGGAAAUCUCACCGGAUAGGACAGACAUAUGAUAGUCGGGCUGAAGACUCUACUUGAUGAUCUG
rnacentral:rRNA from 1 species